CAGCGUGCUUUCGCUUCCUGUACUGGUCAUUUAUUGUAAAAAAUGUGCCAUAACCAGAAACAAGUGGCAUUAUGUUAAAUUGGCUCUCAGUGGUUAUACUUCCUCAACCUCUGACAACACGUCAGGACAAGCUGUGCACUGCAGGAUGGCACGCAGCGAAGCCACAAGAACCUCCGGUGAACCUGUGGUCGGGAGAUUCUUCUCUCCCCCACCUACCUGCGUCAAGAGCUUGAAACCUAGGGUAAACACAGCCUCUGGAUAACCUGAGCUACAUUUCCAGGCAGCUGUGUGAAAGAUUACAACUAUGGGGUAGAAGAGAAAGACAAAAGUAUGGGAUGAGCGAAAAGUGAGAGAAUGGGAAGAGAUGGUGGGCAGCAGCUGGAGGUGAUUACUGCUCCCAGGUCACAUCCCUCAGCCGUGCUCCAAUUCCUUCACUCACUUUAACCUCUGCAGAUGGACACCUGUGAGAUGUGGUCCAGAACAAGAACUAGCCUGCUAACAUCCUGAAAUAUGUGGAGUCUGGGGCAAACCAUGAAAUUCUCCCUGCUGCUGCCUUCUGCUGAGAAUUGGAUGAACCCAGAAUCUCCCUUUCUUCCUUAUCUUGAUUAGAAACAUCAGGAUCAGCUCAUUUUCACUUGAUGUCAAUUUUUUUUUUCACACUGCAUUUUUUUUUUGUUUUUUACACAACAACUUUGGAUCUGAAUAAGAUUUUUUCACAACACGCUCAGCUUCCAAUGGCCUUAAACACACAAGCUCUGUAUCAUGAUUGCAAUGUCAUGAGCGCAAAUGGAAUAAUUACCAAAAAAAGUCAGUUAAAAAGAGCUAUCUGAUGAAAGUAAGUUGUAAAAAGUAACGCUCAUGGAGGAAUAAUUACCCAUUUUCGUAGUUUUUACUAGUUUCCAUGAGCUUAAAUGUAGCAUACCAGUCAAAAACUGUACAUAAAAGAUGUCAUGUUCUGGACUAUAUUAUACAGUUGUGGACUAUGCCUUUUUGUAGCAUCGGUUUUAGCAUUUUAGCUGUUGCAUGUUUUGUUUUGUUUUUUUUAGAACAAGGCAAGACAGUGUUUGGACUA